rnacentral:rRNA from 1 species
GUAGGUGGCAAGCGUUGUCCGGAAUUAUUGGGCGUAAAGCGCGCGCAGGCGGCUCUUUAAGUCUGAUGUGAAAGCCCACGGCUCAACCGUGGAGGGUCAUUGGAAACUGGAGAACUUGAGUACAGAAGAGGAAAGCGGAAUUCCACGUGUAGCGGUGAAAUGCGUAGAGAUGUGGAGGAACACCAGUGGCGAAGGCGGCUUUCUGGUCUGUAACUGACGCUGAGGCGCGAAAGCGUGGGGGAGCAAACAGGAUUAGAUACCCUGGUAGUCCACGCCGUAAACGAUGAGUGCUAAGUGUUAGGGGGUUUCCGCCCCUUAGUGCUGCAGCUAACGCAUUAAGCACUCCGCCUGGGAGUACGGCCGCAAGGCUG